rfam:Phaethon lepturus contig67765, whole genome shotgun sequence.
AAAAUGGUUCCUUUUGGAACUAACUAUAUUAACUCCAAGUAGAUAU